rnacentral:rRNA from 1 species
UACGUAGGGGGCGAGCGUUGUCCGGAUUCAUUGGGCGUAAAGAGCUCGUAGGCGGCUUGGCAAGUCGGGUGUGAAACCUCCAGGCUCAACCUGGAGACGCCACCCGAGACUGCUAUGGCUAGAGUCCGGUAGGGGACCACGGAAUUCCUGGUGUAGCGGUGAAAUGCGCAGAUAUCAGGAGGAACACCGGUGGCGAAGGCGGGUCUCUGGGCCGAUACUGACGCUGAGGAGCGAAAGCGUGGGGAGCGAACAGG